GGGACUCUAAGUCUGUACAGAUCUUGCAAUCAAGGAGCGCGCGGCGCCCUUAGUUGUGUGAGGGACCAUAUCUAUACACGCGUACAUGGCUCGCUCGCUACUGACUGC